UAAUAAUUAAUUAUGGUUAAAAAAAUUUAUUAUAAAUUAAUAUUAUAUAUAAAUUUUAGUGUUAAUUUUUAAUUAUUUUAAUAAUUUUUAAUUAAAUUUAUAGUAAUUAAUAUUAAAAAUUUAAGAAAUUAAGAUUUAGUGAUAUAAAUAUAUUAAUAACAAAUUUUGUGCCAGCAGUUGCGGUUAAACAAAGAAUUAAUUUAAAUUUUAUUAGUAAUAAAAUAAUAAUAAUUUUUUUUUAUGAAAUAUUAAUUUAUUAGGUGAAAUUUUAAUUUAAUUAAAAUUAUGAAUAUAAGUUAUGUUUUAAAAAAUUUAAAAAUAAACUAGGAUUAGAUACCCUAUUAUAAUAAAUUUAAUUAAAAAUACUAAAAUAGUAAAUAAUAAUUUAUUUAAACUUAAAUAAUUUGGCGGUAUUUUAGUUUAUUUAGAGGAAUCUGUUUAUUAAUUGAUAAUCCACGAGUGAAUUUACUUAAUUUAAUAUUUUGUAUAUCGUUGUUAAAUAAAUAUUUUUUAGUAAGAAUAAUAUUUAAAAAUUUAUAUUAAAAAUUAGAUCAGAUCAAGAUGCAGAUUAUAAUUAAGAAUAUAAUGGGUUACAAUAAAUUUAUUUAAAUGAAUAAUAAUUUGAAAAAAUUAUUUAAAGGUGGAUUUAAAUGUAAUUUUAUUUAAUUUAAUAAAAUGAUUUAAAAUUAAAAUAUGUACAUAUUGCCCGUCACUUUCAUAAAUAAAUUGAAAUAAGUCGUAACAAAGUAGAGGUACUGGAAAGUGUUUCUAGAAAGUU
rnacentral:ncRNA from 1 species